rnacentral:lncRNA from 1 species
AUGUCAGUCCUGGUUCCAGGGUGUCGAUCCCAGCUGUGCCCACCCAGUCCAAGGUCCAAGUGGGCUCAGUCCCCCACGGGCAAAGCCUGUCCUCGCCCUGAGGGCCCCCCCUCCACUCCCCACACCCCAGGCACAAGGAAAACUUAUUUAAAGGAACCAGGAGGACACCGAAGUCAAGGCUGUGAGGGCCCUGUGGUGUUAUCUGUCCUCGUCCUUCAGCGGGAACACACGGCUUGCUCAACUAGUGCUUCCCCCAGCACCCAGGCUCAUCUCAAAUGUGUGUCCUACCCCCUGAGGUUCUUCCAAAUGGUAGCCAGGAGCACUGAACUUGGCCAGCAUCUUCUUCCCACUCCUGCAGCAGCAACUGUAUGUGUUCCUUGUGGCUCCACAGACUGCCAGCUGUGUUACGCACUUGGGACCCUUCCUUCUGAAGGUCAGACAUUUUAUACCUAAUUUAAUGAUGGCUUACUACUCUUGUGGUAAUCUCUGCCUCUCAGUUUUUCAUAAGCAUGUGCAUCCUUUCUCUUUUUCCUAAAUAAAUACAAACCAGUUUGCUAUUGUUCUCCCCACAGCUGCUGAGGUGGAGAAAACAGUGUAUGCCAAUAUUUUGUAUCAAUUCCUUGUCACCCGUUUAUUUGCUACAGUAAAAAUGUGCUGACUGCUGAUGGACAUGGAAGAGAAUCAGUGCUUAUGGAAUGACAGAUCCAGGAUGAUUCCCAAGACAGCUGUUUGCAAGUAAUCAUGCAGUUCUACCUGUUCUGUACUUUGCAAAAUGCAGGUUCUGGGGACAAAUAACUUUUUGUUUGCAGUAAUCAAGUGGGAAAGAUGUGAGACAGAAACCACUGAGGUGCUCUUGUGAGACUGGAUUAGCCUUUUUGGGUAUGAGAUCCUCGGGGUCAUCAAGGAGAGACCUUGCAGAGAAAUUUCAAGUAGGGAAUGUCACAUGGGGAACACCAUGGAGAAGUCCAAGAGCAUUGAAAUGGCAGCUAGAAUCAUAAUGCCAAAAGUGAUUGAUGAAAAAAGUAUAAGGACGGGGGGAAAAGUAAUCCCCAUCAAAACCUGGAUAUGUUUCUUAGAGGAGAACAAUUAUCUCCGUUAAACCACAAAAGAUUGACUCUGCUGUAAACUAGGAAAGAAAAGAGGUUUUUACUCUCAGUGUCAGACAUUUCCUCUUUUCCACCUUGUUUUGAUCUCUGCAAAAAUAGAUGACAUGUACCAAAAGUUGUCCCAAGCAGGACACGUUUCUAAAUCUGCCCAGCCAGCUCUUUGGUUGUCUCCAUGGCAAUGAGGCAGCACAUCCUGCUGCUCUCCCUUCUGUGAGUGCCUUUCCCAAGUUUGACACGGACUGACAACACUGUGCCUUUGUAGCUCCCCUGCCAAAAAGCUCCCUUUUCUCUGCUCAAGGCCAGUCCCAUCUGUUCCUUCCUGCUUCUCCCCGAUUUUACAAACACCUGGCUAGAGGGGGAGUCCAUACAUUGCUUCUCUGCUGCAAUGAUUCAAGCCAAGGAGGGACUGCUGCUGGGUGUACAAGUGGAGGGACUGGAGAGGGCAGUGCCUUCCUGCUUAGGAUGAAGUUUUGGAUGAUGGUAAGGGAGAACACUGCAGUGGCCAGGAGCAUAAACAAAACAGAAGGAAGGAAAAUCCAGAAUAGUCUUCCAAAAGAAUCUCACUGAAACUUGGCACCACAGGCCAUAGCAACAAAUAGAGCAGUAAAGAAUGUACAGACUUGGUACAAGGCAGUGCUUAUUGAAGGAGACGACAAGCGUGAAGGAACACUUCCAAACCUCUGAUUUCAGAUAGAUCUGUGUCACAGCUGAGUCUCUGGCAACUCUCAACAGCAUUUCGCUGAAAAUGGAUAAAAUAGGAGUUACAAAGCUGAAAGAGGCAUUUUUGCUAUCAGCUGAAGACUGGCAGAAAUGGGAGGUUCUAACGGAACUACACCAGGAGGUGAAGCAAUCUGCAGGGUUUGCUGCAGUUGAUCUGCCUUGGGCUGAGUUGAUGUGGUUACAAAAACAUCUUUGUGCUCAGCACUAUUCCGUUGUUGGCCUAGUGCCUUGAGGCUUACAAGCUUUGGAAAUAUGGAUGAGGAGAUGAAAACUUGAGCUUGUUUAAAGGAUUUAAAUCUGAAGAUGGCAGGCCCAGGAGAGGGAUUCUGAGUUCAGGCAUGUAGGUCAUGCAAGAGAGGUCUUGUCUUCACCAGCAAGUUAAUGUGAAAUAUAGUAAAAGUGUUCCUGUUAGUUCAACCCUUGCCCACACAAAAAAAAUCCCUCAUUGCAAAAAGUGGCUGGAGAAACAUAAAUUGACAAAGCAACCAGAGAACAAGGUAAACCUUGAGUGAAUUCACUUCAUCCUUUACCACUGCUGUUUCUCUGCAGCAGGGACCCACACUAAGGACCAUAAUCAAAACAUCCAGCAGUACUCACUCCCCACGGUUUUUCCACUUGUGCUUUCCUUAGUGGAUGCUGACUCUGCUUUCUAUUUGUGAGCUUAUUCCCCCAGGUCCAAAAGGCUUUCAGCGUCCCCAGUACAAAUCUCCCAUCUCCAGCACAGAAAUAUUGGGUUUAUUAUUCUGCAACUGUGUCUAGCAAGACCUCAGUUUCUUGUUGCCUGCUGAUCAGACACCAAGUUAUGGAAGAAUCUCUGGCAUGAUGCUACUGUAGUCUAUGAUUUUCAGAGCAAGGAUCCAGGCUGAAAGCUUUCUGGUGACAUUCCAAGUAAGCUGUCAUAAGAAGAGAAUCCAACACCCAAGACCUCAGUGCUUAGGCAAAAUCAGAGGGUUUCAUCUACUCAGAAGAAAAGAUUAGAACUAUAAAUGCUAACUCAGUAACUCCCCAGGAAUGAGCAUGUGCCAUGCUGAGA